AGAGUUUGAUCAUGGCUCAGGACGAACGCUGGCGGCGUGCUUAGCACAUGCAAGUCGAACGGAAAGGUCUCUUCGGAGAUACUCGAGUGGCGAACGGGUGAGUAACACGUGGGUAAUCUGCCCUGCACUUCGGGAUAAGCCUGGGAAACUGGGUCUAAUACCGGAUAGGACCAUGAGGCGCAUGCCUUGUGGUGGAAAGCUUUUUGCGGUGUGGGAUGGGCCCGCGGCCUAUCAGCUUGUUGGCGGGGUGACGGCCCACCAAGGCGACGACGGGUAGCCGGCCUGAGAGGGUGUCCGGCCACACUGGGACUGAGAUACGGCCCAGACUCCUACGGGAGGCAGCAGUGGGGAAUAUUGCACAAUGGGCGCAAGCCUGAUGCAGCGACGCCGCGUGGGGGAUGACGGCCUUCGGGUUGUAAACCUCUUUCACCAUCGGCGAAGGUCCGGGUUUUCUCGGAUUGACGGUAGGUGGAGAAGAAGCACCGGCCAACUACGUGCCAGCAGCCGCGGUAAUACGUAGGGUGCGAGCGUUGUCCGGAAUUACUGGGCGUAAAGAGCUCGUAGGUGGUUUGUCGCGUUGUUCGUGAAAUCUCACGGCUUAACUGUGAGCGUGCGGGCGAUACGGGCAGACUGGAGUACUGCAGGGGAGACUGGAAUUCCUGGUGUAGCGGUGGAAUGCGCAGAUAUCAGGAGGAACACCGGUGGCGAAGGCGGGUCUCUGGGCAGUAACUGACACUGAGGAGCGAAAGCGUGGGGAGCGAACAGGAUUAGAUACCCCGGUAGUCC
rnacentral:rRNA from 1 species